CUUGAACACAUUCAAAACAAU
rnacentral:snRNA from 1 species